CACGAGGAAUCCCGUGGGAAGUCGGGGGGACCACCCUCCAAGCCUAAAUACUACCCAAUGACCGAUAGCGAAAAGUACUGUGAAGGAACGGUGAAAAGAACCCCGGGAGGGGAGUGAAAAGAACCUGAAACUCUAUGCUUACAAGCACAUAGAGCACGUCAAAGUGUGAUAUGGUACCUUUUGUAGAAUGGUCCGGCGAGUUAUUGUAUGCAGCAAGGUUAAGGUCUUCAGGACUGAAGCCGAAGCGAGAGCGAGUCUGACAAGGGCGGUAAGUUGCAUGCAAUAGACCCGAAACCGGGUGACCUAGCCAUGUUCAGGUUGAAGUGGAGGUAAAGCUCCAUGGAGGACCGAACCGACCUCCGUUGAAAAGGCGGCGGAUGAAAUGUGGCUAGCGGAGAAAUUCCAAUCGAACCCGGAAAUAGCUGGUUCUCCCCGAAAUAGCUUUAGGGCUAGCGUUGUAUUAGAUUUCUGGGGGUAAAGCACUGAAUAGGCUAGGGGCCGAGAGGUUACUGAACCUUAUCAAACUAAGAAUACCAGAAAAUUGAUGUACAGCAGUCAGACUAUGUGAGAUAAGUCUCAUAGUCAAAAGGGAAACAGCCCAGACCCACAGCUAAGGUCCCAAAACAGAUUUAAGUGGAAAAGGAUGUGGGAUUGCCCAGACAACCAGGAUGUUGGCUUAGAAGCAGCCACACAUUAAAAGAGUGCGUAAUAGCUCACUGGUCGAGUGAUCCUGCGCCGAAAAUUCAACGGGGCUAAAAUUUGUACCGAAGCUUGGGCUUGAUACUUUGUAUCAGGGGUAGGGGAGCGUCAUGUAUGAGGUGAAGUCGUAGCGAAAGCGGCGGUGGAUUGUACAUGAGAGAGAAUGCCGGAAUGAGUAGCGAGAAUUAUGUGAGAAUCAUAAUGGCCGAAAAUCUAAGGUUUCCUGAGGAAGGUUCGUCCGCUCAGGGUAAGCCGGGAGCUAAGGUGAGGCGGAAACGCGUAGCCGAUGCACAUACGGUAGAGAUUCCGUAGCCUCCGAAAAGUAAAGCACAGGGACGCUUCAGAAGUGUUACGCCGGGCGAUGGUUGCCCCGGUUGUAAAGGACACAAUUGAGUGGAAGGUAACAUGGAUGGAGACAAGAAAAGCUGUGUGUAUCUGGAAGGAGCCCGUACCGCAAACCGACACAGGUAGAUAGGAAGAAGAUUCUAAGGCCAGCGGGAGAAGGGUUGUUAAGGAACUCGGCAAGUUGACCCCGUAACUUCGGGAGAAGGGGUGCUUACGAAGGUAAGCCGCAGAGAAUAGGCCCAAGCGACUGUUUAGCAAAAACACAGCUCUAUGCUAAAUCGAAAGAUGACGUAUAUGGGGUGACACCUGCCCGGUGCUGGAAGGUUAAGAGGAGAUGUGAGAGCAUUGAAUUGAAGCCCCAGUAAACGGCGGCCGUAACUAUAACGGUCCUAAGGUAGCGAAAUUCCUUGUCAGGUAAGUUCUGACCCGCACGAAUGGCGUAAUGAUCUGGGAGCUGUCUCAACUGCCCGCCCGGCGAAAUUGUAGUACCGGUGAAGAUGCCGGUUACCCGCGACUAGACGGAAAGACCCCAUGGAGCUUCACUGUAGCUUAAUAUUGAAUUUUGGUAUUUCAUGUACAGGAUAGGUGGGAGACUGGGAAAUACAGGCGUCAGCUUGUAUGGAGUCACUGUUGGGAUACCACUCUUGAGGUGCUGAAAUUCUAACCUGCGUCUUUGAAUCAAGACGGGGGACAUUGUUAGGUGGGCAGUUUGACUGGGGCGGUCGCCUCCAAAAGAGUAACGGAGGCGCUCAAAGGUUCGCUCAGCAUGGACGGAAACCAUGCCAAAGAGUGCAAACGCAAAAGCGAGCCUAACUGCGAGACUGACGGGUCGAGCAGUAACGAAAGUUGGAGUUAGUGAUCCGGCGGUAUGUGAAUGGAAAUGCCGUCGCUCAACGGAUAAAAGCUACCCUGGGGAUAACAGGCUGAUCUCCCCCAAGAGUCCACAUCGACGGGGAGGUUUGGCACCUCGAUGUCGGCUCAUCGCAUCCUGGGGCUGAAUUCGGUCCCAAGGGUUUGGCUGUUCGCCAAUUAAAGCGGUACGCGAGCUGGGUUCAGAACGUCGUGAGACAGUUCGGUCCCUAUCUGUUGCGGGCGCAGGAAUAUUGAGAGGAGCUGUCCUUAGUACGAGAGGACCGGGAUGGACGUACCGCUGGUGCACCAGUUGUUCUGCCAAGGGCAUAGCUGGGUAGCUAAGUACGGACGAGAUAAACGCUGAAGGCAUCUAAGCGUGAAACUCCCCUCGAGAUAAGUGUUCCCAUCCUUCGGGAGUAAGGCCCCUUGUAGACUACAAGGUUGAUAGGUCAGGAGUGGAAGUGCAGUAAUGUAUGGAGCGGACUGAUACUAAUAGGCCGAGGGCUUGACCUU
rnacentral:rRNA from 1 species